UAGGGAAUCUGCCGCAAUGGGCGAAAGCCGGACGGAGCAACGCCGCGGGAGUGAUGAAGGUCUUCGGAUCGUAAAACUCUGUUAUUAGGGAAGAACAAAUGUGUAAGUAACUAUGCACGUCUUGACGGUACCUAAUCAGAAAGCCACGGCUAACUACGUGCCAGCAGCCGCGGUAAUACGUAGGUGGCAAGCGUUAUCCGGAAUUAUUGGGCGUAAAGCGCGCGUAGGCGGUUUUUUAAGUCUGAUGUGAAAGCCCACGGCUCAACCGUGGAGGGUCAUUGGAAACUGGAAAACUUGAGUGCAGAAGAGGAAAGUGGAAUUCCCUGUGUAGCGGUGAAAUGCGCAGAGAUAUGGAGGAACACCAGUGGCGAAGGCGACUUUCUGGUCUGUAACUGACGCUGAUGUGCGAAAGCGUGGGGAUCAAACAGG
rnacentral:rRNA from 1 species